rnacentral:rRNA from 1 species
UACGUAGGUCGCAAGCGUUGUCCGGAUUUACUGGGCGUAAAGGGCGCGCAGGCGGCUCAUUUUGUCAGGCGUGAAAGCCCCGGGCUUAACCUGGGAACUGCGUUUGAUACGGAUGGGCUAGAGUUCGGGAGAGGAGAGUGGAAUUCCCAGUGUAGAGGUGAAAUUCGUAGAUAUUGGGAAGAACACCGGUGGCGAAGGCGGCUCUCUGGACCGAGACUGACGCUGAG